AACGAACGCUGGCGGUAUGCCUAACACAUGCAAGUCGCACGAGAAAGUACUUCGGUAUGAGUAGAGUGGCGCACGAGUGAGUAACACGUAGGUGACCUUCCGAAUAGUGGGGGAUAACUCGGAGAAAUCCGGGCUAAUACCGCAUAAUGUACGACAAAUCUGAGAGUAGUCGUAGAAAGAAGUGCCUCUACUUGUAAGCAUUUCGCUAAUCGAUGGGCCUGCGGAGCAUUAGCUUGUUGUGGGGUAAUGGCUACCAAGGCUACGAUGCUUAACGGAUCUGAGAGGAUGAUCCGUCACACUGGAACUGAGACACGGUCCAGACUCCUACGGAGGCAGCAGUGGGAAUAGUUGCGCAAUGGACGCAAGUCUGACGCAGCAAUACCG
rnacentral:rRNA from 1 species